rnacentral:rRNA from 1 species
AUGGAGAGUUUGAUCCUGGCUCAGGAUGAACGCUGGCGAGAUGCCUUACACAUGCAAGUCGUACGGGGAUUUUUAAUUCAAGUGGCGGACGGGUGAGUAACACGUAAGAAUUUGCCUUUAGGAGGGGGACAACAACUGGAAACGGUUGCUAAUACCCCAUAUGCUUUCGAGUGAAAUGGAUUUUUCCGCCUAAAGAGAAGCUUGCGGCUGAUUAGCUUGUUGGUGAGGUAAUGGCUCACCAAGGCGACGAUCAGUAUCUGGUUUGAGAGGAUGAUCAGACACACUGGAACUGAGACACGGUCCAGACUCCUACGGGAGGCAGCAGUGGGGAAUUUUCCGCAAUGGGCGAAAGCCUGACGGAGCAAUCUCGCGUGAGGGAUGACGGCCUAUGGGUUGUAAACCUCUUUUUUCAGGGAGGAACAAAAUGACGUGUACCUGAAGAAUAAGCACCGGCUAACUCCGUGCCAGCAGCCGCGGUAAGACGGAGG